rnacentral:rRNA from 1 species
UACGUAGGGUGCAAGCGUUGUCCGGAAUUAUUGGGCGUAAAGAGCUCGUAGGCGGUCUGUCACGUCGGCUGUGAAAACCCGGGGCUCAACCCCGGGCCUGCAGUCGAUACGGCAGACUAGAGUGCGGUAGGGGAGACUGGAAUUCCUGGUGUAGCGGUGAAAUGCGCAGAUAUCAGGAGGAACACCGGUGGCGAAGGCGGGUCUCUGGGCCGAACUGACGCCUGAGGAGCGAAAGCGUGGG